rnacentral:rRNA from 1 species
AUUGAACGCUGGCGGCAGGCUACACAUGCAAGUCGAGCGGUAGAGAGAAGCUUGCUUCUCUUGAGAGCGGCGGACGGGUGAGUAAAGCCUAGGAAUCUGCCUGGUAGUGGGGGAUAACGUUCGGAAACGGACGCUAAUACCGCAUACGUCCUACGGGAGAAAGCAGGGGACCUUCGGGCCUUGCGCUAUCAGAUGAGCCUAGGUCGGAUUAGCUAGUUGGUGAGGUAAUGGCUCACCAAGGCGACGAUCCGUAACUGGUCUGAGAGGAUGAUCAGUCACACUGGAACUGAGACACGGUCCAGACUCCUACGGGAGGCAGCAGUGGGGAAUAUUGGACAAUGGGCGAAAGCCUGAUCCAGCCAUGCCGCGUGUGUGAAGAAGGUCUUCGGAUUGUAAAGCACUUUAAGUUGGGAGGAAGGGCAUUAACCUAAUACGUUAGUGUUUUGACGUUACCGACAGAAUAAGCACCGGCUAACUCUGUGCCAGCAGCCGCGGUAAUACAGAGGGUGCAAGCGUUAAUCGGAAUUAUUGGGCGUAAAGCGCGCGUAGGUGGUUUGUUAAGUUGGAUGUGAAAUCCCCGGGCUCAACCUGGGAACUGCAUUCAAAACUGACUGACUAGAGUAUGGUAGAGGGUGGUGGAAUUUCCUUGUGUAGCGGUGAAAUGCGUAGAUAUAGGAAGGAACACCAGUGGCGAAGCGACCACCUGGACUAAUACUGACACUGAGGUGCGAAAGCUGGGGAGCAAACAGG